UAUAUAUGUAACACUCAGAAACGUGUCCUUCCCCCCAAACGUGUCCGAUUCCCCAAACGUGUCCACAUCAACGUCACUGAACUGCAAAAACAUGUCUAGUUGUCAAAGUGCGCCAAAGCGUGUCAUUUGUAUAAACGUUCAAACGUGUCCAUUUUUUAAUAAACCCCCAAUCGUGUCCAAUCCCCCAAACGUGUCCAUUUCAAGCUUUUUAUUUUACUGGAACUAUCAUUCGUGUUCAUAAUAUAAAAACGUAGGUUAUUUGUGUGGUUU
rnacentral:lncRNA from 1 species